CCCACCGCGGAGAGGAACACUGAUAAUAAAUAAACGGUGAAUUAGGAAAAGAGUUUAAAUUUAGGCGAAGUCACUUUUUUGUGUCGCUUUUAUUAGUUUAUAUUUUAGACAGCGCUGUCUUCGGUUAAUAACCGAAUCAAGACAUAUUAUUUAAACACUAGUGGGUAGCGAAGCGAUGCACAAAUGAAAAAAAAAAUGUUUCUGAAAAAAUAUAUAUAUACGACUGGAUCUCAUUUACUUUUUUUUUUUUUUAAAAAAAAAACUAAAACUAGCGAUUUUUACGUAGUGUACCUGAACACAUCCACAAAUAUCUGUUGCUUAAUAAAAAAGAUAGAACUACGUUAGAAAAAAAAAGUUCUAGACGAUCGACAAAUAAAAUAUUAACAUAAGAUUUGGUCGGUUUUUACGCAGACGCCUCAGUAAGAAAAAUGUCAUAAAGAGGAGACGAGAAUAGGAGUAGCUAGGAAUUAAUCUUUGGGAGCAAGAGAAGUCUCUCCGUGUGAAGGCUGCACCGUCCUCUCAAAUUCCUGCGCGUCGCAAAAAAAAGGGGGGAUUUAGAGCGACUUAUUUUCUUAAACUGUCCUCCCAUCCACAGAGGCAGCCAGUCUGCUGCCACCCAGCCCCGUAAAGGCCUGCACAUAAAAAAAAGUCACCUAGAAUAUUUACAGGUGGGUUCCCACCGGGAAGACACUGAGCAGCCAAGGGACUCAUGCGCACCUGCGGAGUGCAUCCAGCCAGAGAUGAGAACAAAUGAAAGAAAGAAAAAAUAUAUAUAUAAAAAAAGAAGAAGAAGAAAGCCGAUUUCUCUUAGUAGGCGUCAAGCUUUAAUUUCACUUGAAACGGUUUCUGCGAGAAGAAGAGGAAGAAGAUAAAGGACUUCUGUGUGAAGAUUUCGAUCAGGAGAAGAGGCUGAGUGGAUCAUUAUUUCUUCUAAGAGCUCGGCUGAGACCUGAUGUCAGCACAGGGGAAGUUUUCGUGGAGGGAAGGAGCUGCAACGCAUCCAGGAGUUCGCCAGCAAACAAACGGAUGCAAUUAAACGCGCUCGUCUUCAGAUCAUCUGCGAGGGGGGCAAAGUCGAGGCUAGCGGAAAGCUGACGAGGACAAAUGAAGGCCGGAGAAGACUGGGCUGCCUCAAGGUUAACACUGACUGAGUGGAGAGCUCGUCUUCAGACAGUCUGGAUAAAACGUCGCUCACUGCUUUUCACCCAAAUCUUAGUUGGAUGCUUUAAGUUUAUGUCACUGCUGAGAAAUUAAAUUUAUUGUCUGUAAUUAAAUUGGAAAUAAAUGCAUCUUUCUGUUCUA